UACAGGGGGAGCAAGCGUUGUUCGGAUUUACUGGGCGUAAAGGGCGCGUAGGCGGCGCGGUAAGCGUGCGGUGAAAGCCCGGGGCUCAACCCCGGGAGGCGGGUGGAUACUGUCGGGCUCGAGUUCGGAAGAGGUGAGUGGAAUUCCUGGUGUAGCGGUGAAAUGCGUAGAGAUCAUGAGGAAGACCAGUGGCGAAGGCGGGUCUCUGGGACGGUACUGACGCUGAGACGCGAAAGCGUGGGGAGCGAACAGG
rnacentral:rRNA from 1 species